UCUCACUGGAAAAAGAAAAAAGCUUCAAAGAUCGCCAAACACCCGAUUCAGUGGAAGAACCGUGUCCCGUUGAGCUGUUUCUCUAGCCGUCUCUUAAGGUCCACUGCGGAGUGGGUCUUUUGGGACAGAAACCCAUUCACUUGGAUGCAAUUAAAUAGAGCUUAGUAGCUUCUGCUGCCAGAAACCAGAAAUGGAGUUGAUUCGGAUCUGGGAGAUGUAAGAACGUACUUCUUCCCAGGAAACUGGACUCUGGGGCAUUUGGCUGUUCCUCACAGAGACCGCAUUAUUGAGAUGGAGGGGUUUACCUUGGCACUCUAGCUUACCUAAGACUUUCAAG